GCCUGAUGCAGCAACGCCGCGUGAGGGAUGACGGCCUUCGGGUUGUAAACCUCUUUUAGUAGGGAAGAAGCGAAAGUGACGGUACCUGCAGAAAAAGCACCGGCUAACUACGUGCCAGCAGCCGCGGUAAUACGUAGGGUGCAAGCGUUGUCCGGAAUUAUUGGGCGUAAAGAGCUCGUAGGCGGUUUGUCGCGUCUGCUGUGAAAACUGGAGGCUCAACCUCCAGCCUGCAGUGGGUACGGGCAGACUAGAGUGCGGUAGGGGAGAUUGGAAUUCCUGGUGUAGCGGUGGAAUGCGCAGAUAUCAGGAGGAACACCGAUGGCGAAGGCAGAUCUCUGGGCCGUAACUGACGCUGAGGAGCGAAAGCAUGGGGAGCGAACAGGAUUAGAUACCCUGGUAGUCCAUGCCGUAAACGUUGGGAACUAGAUGUGGGGACCAUUCCACGGUCUCCGUGUCGCAGCUAACGCAUUAAGUUCCCCGCCUGGGGAGUACGGCCGCAAGGCUAAAACUCAAAGGAAUUGACGGGGGCCCGCACAAGCGGCGGAGCAUGCGGAUUAAUUCGAUGCAACGCGAAGAACCUUACCAAGGCUUGACAUAUACCGGAAACGGCCAGAGAUGGUCGCCCCCGCAAGGU
rnacentral:rRNA from 1 species